CCAGAGAAUUUCCAGAGAUGGAUUGGUGCCUUCGGGAACUCUGAGACAGGUGCUGCAUGGCUGUCGUCAGCUCGUGUUGUGAAAUGUUGGGUUAAGUCCCGCAACGAGCGCAACCCUUUAUCCUUUGUUGCCAGCGGUCCGGCCGGGAACUCAAAGGAGACUGCCAGUGAUAAACUGGAGGAAGGUGGGGAUGACGUCAAGUCAUCAUGGCCCUUACGAGUAGGGCUACACACGUGCUACAAUGGCGCAUACAAAGAGAAGCGACCUCGCGAGAGCAAGCGGACCUCAUAAAGUGCGUCGUAGUCCGGAUUGGAGUCUGCAACUCGACUCCAUGAAGUCGGAAUCGCUAGUAAUCGUAGAUCAGAAUGCUACGGUGAAUACGUUCCCGGGCCUUGUACACACCGCCCGUCACACCAUGGGAGUGGGUUGCAAAAGAAGUAGGUAGCUUAACCUUCGGGAGGGCGCUUACCACUUUGUGAUUCAUGACUGGGGUGAAGUCGUAACAAGGUAGGCGUAGUGCU
rnacentral:rRNA from 1 species